rnacentral:tRNA from 1 species
GUUUUAAUAGUUUAAACAAAAACUUCGGUCUUGUAAACCGAAAAUGGAAUAAAUUUUCUUAAAACA